rnacentral:rRNA from 1 species
AUGCCCCUCGCUCACUUGGAGUUGGUGGAUGUCUCCGGGCGAAAGCCUCGAUUCGAUGUUGGAUCGACACAUUCGCGGCGUCCUCGACGUUGUAUCUCUGUUGGGAGCUUUGUGUGUGGAGACAUGGUCGGGUUCUUAUUGCUCUCCUUCGGUGUUCACCGCUGUCCUCUGUUGAUUCUUUGCGGCGCUAUGUACGCUCAUCGCUGGUGUCUUCAAGAAGGUGCUUCUCUUAGAUCGGAGCAAGUCCCGCCUUCCACUUGCCAUUUCCUCUUAGGCGCUCAGAGUGGAUGGUGCGUCGACAAGCGAUGUUCUAUGGAAAGUGGUGGUCUUCGGAGGUGUCCGGCGUCGGUCGAGAUGCGGUGUGUGUGUCAGCUGAGGAUAGGCUCUUCUGUGUUGUAG